GGAUUAGACGCUAUCCCUUUAUCAUGGAAGGAUGGUUUGUUGCACAAAGAGUGGUUAGACCAACAGAUAUCUAGGUACCUCAGAAUGACAAAUGGAGAGGAAGUAGAAAGCAAGGAUGCAGGUCCAAAUCCAGGGCCAUCCGAAACAGUGUGACAAAUUUUAUAUGAACACAAUGGAAAAAAAUUCUUUCAGAUAAUCAAAUAUAUGAACUUGACUGUUAUUUAAAGUACAACUUAACUUAUCCUCCUUUUUAACCGGGUUUUCCAAAUGAAAUUUGGUUAUUGAAAUUGUGAAAAUGGCGGGCAGGCAGGCGGCUGCCAAAAGGGUACCCAAAUUGUACAGAUAACUCCUCCUACAGUUUUCAUGAUAGGAAGUUGUUGUUUUGGAUAUCAAUUUUACAUAUAUCAGAGAUGUGCAUAUUACUUGGAUUUUAAUUUUUAAUAAUUUAUGAAAAAAAUGCUACCUGUUGAACUUAUUUAUUUUUUGGGCAGAAUAUUGCAUAAAGGGUACUUCAUUUCUCUGGAAAGGUAUUGUUUAUCAUUUCAAGGUUGACAGAUGGAUUAUGGAUACUGUUCACAUAAAAGGAAAUCCUGUUUGCUGUCACAUUGGCAGCUUUUCACUUGUUUCAUAGUUGAAACAAGAAGAUGAUCCUAUAAAUUAUCACCGGGUCAUGACCUUCACCUUUUUCAAGGUCAUUUCUUAUCAGUCAAGGUUUAGGUCUCAAUCAUCAUUAACGGUUCUUCAGGACCAAUAACUUAAAACCAAAUAUUGCCUCAAAGAAAUAUGAUCGUUACUUAGGCAAUGUUCCUAAAUCUGGACUCAAUCAGGUCUUACUCAGUGACUCGCUAAGACAUUAUGCUCAGACAAUUAUCCAUGUCUGAGGUCAAGGUUACAGCUAUUCCAUUAACACCAUUACGCAUUCUGAGAUUAUAUAACUGGCAUGGCAUUAUAGAUACUCUUUGAUGAUAUUCUGUUUGAUAUAUACAUGUACUAUACAAAUUAUUCUCUUUGACUUACCCUUCUUGAUUUUUCAUACUAGAAUAUUUUUUAAAAUACAUGUUAUUCAUAGUUGUUUAUUUUGAUACAUGUAUUUAUAUAUAUUUAAAUAUAUUUAGAUAAUUUCUUUAAUUUUAUACAUUUUUAACAUUCUUUUAAGAAGUACAUGUAAUGUUUGUAAUUUUUAUUUUUCGUUUCAGUUACUUUGUGCAUUUAUUGUCUUAUAUACAUUUACUGUUAAAUGUUAAUUGUUACAGCAUUAUUAUUGCUACUGGAUUGAAAUAAAAGAUGUUCAUA
rnacentral:misc_RNA from 1 species